rnacentral:other from 1 species
UUGGGUCCGGGGUGUAAGUCAUAAAGUUUCGCCCCUACGAUUUUUUAUUCGGGAGCGGUCCCUGGUCACGGUGUGCAAGCUUGCCUGUCUUAGUAUUAAGUCAGAAUGUGAGAAGCCUAAAGUGAUUACUAAUUGCGCCCACCUAGUUAUCUAGGGGGACGAAACCGUUUUAAGCCUUCUCCCGGACCUCUU